GCUAAAAUGUUUGGCUUUUCUUCGCUCGCAGCGGCAGCCACCGUCUCAUCUCCAUCUGAAUCGAGUUUAAUAGAUUUUAGGUUCUUAGAAUCCCCAUCUUUACAAGAACUCCGAAAAUACCUUUAAAUCUUGGUUCAAAAUGAACUUUUGCUGCAGAUCUACAAUUAAUAGACCUUAUUCUCCAAACCCAUUUCAACUUUUCUUGAAAAUAUGAAGUACCAGUACCUAGAUUUUAAUUUGAUUUAGGGUUCAUCUUGUCUUUAGCAUAUUGAUACCUUUGCUUUUUCUAUUUAUGAUUUACAAUCAGAUCUAAAUCUUUGCUUGAUUACUCAUUCAAUUAAUCUAUAAUUGUACUGUUAAUUGCAAUGAAAUCUCUUUACACGAUGAAGGAAAUCUACAGUUGUCUCAUCUAUUAAUUUCCUAAAGCUCUAUCUAUAGAUUUUGAUUGAGAUGAAUGCAAGAGUCAACAAUUUUCUGUUUGUUUAUUUCCAAGACUAUUUGCUUAUUUUUAGUUAUGAUCUUUGGAUCAAUUUAUUGUAAGGAUAAUAGUGUUCAACACUUUCUUUUGGAUCAAUUAUAUAUAUAAGUAGUAGAUUAUAUUAACUUACUUUUACUUCUUGUUUUUUCAUUAAAUUUGUAGAUUGCUUACACAGGUCAGUCAUUUUCAACUUAGUAGAUCUUUCCUUGGACUUCGCAGCAAGCAGGAAAACAACAUCAGAGACCCACUGAAAGUCUUGACAUUGGAUAUUGUUGCAUUGCAGAAAAAGCAACACUUAUUAGAAGGGAGUUGAACAUCCAAAGAUUUAACAACAUCUAUUGCAUCUAUAAACCAUUCAAAAUAGUUUCAUAUGGAGCAGUUAAAGAACUUCUCACCAGGAUGCUCAGCAGUUUGAGACAACAACAUCGCAAGAUAAAAAAAAUGGAAGGGAUGGUGGUUUUAUAGCAUAUGAAGCAUAAUAUGAUCGUUCAACGGUCAUUUUGGGGUUACAGAGAUGACGUGUCCAAGUUGCCAUGUCAUUAGUGUUGCCAGUUGGCAAGUGCAUGGAUGAUGUGUACAAGUUGCCACGUGUAAUUGAUUCUACAUCAGCUUAUACAAUUAAUUACCUAUAGUUAAAUGUUGAGGAUAGGUUUGUCCACUAUUGGGUGUAAAUAUGUGUGAGUGGCACCGUAUUUUUGUUUUGAAAAAUUCGGAUGGGAAAAUUUAACACAUGGACACUUUUCUAAUUAUGUUUGAAAGAGUGACAUAUUUGUAAUUGCAAUUGUAAAGAGGGACACCUUGUCAAAAAUCCCAUUUUUAAUUUA